GAGUUUGAUCGUGGCUCAGAUUGAAUGCUGGCGGCAUGCCUUACACAUGCAAGUCGAACGGCAGCACGGGAGCUUGCUCCUGGGUGGCGAGUGGCGAACGGGUGAGUAAUGCAUCGGAACGUAUCCUGGAGUGGGGGAUAACGUAGCGAAAGUUACGCUAAUACCGCAUAUUCUGUGAGCAGGAAAGCGGGGGACCUUCGGGCCUCGCGCUCUUGGAGCGGCCGAUGUCGGAUUAGCUAGUUGGUGAGGUAAAGGCUCGACCAAGGCGACGAUCCGUAGCAGGUCUGAGAGGAUGAUCUGCCACACUGGAACUGAGACACGGUCCAGACUCCUACGGGAGGCAGCAGUGGGGAAUUUUGGACAAUGGGGGCAACCCUGAUCCAGGCCAUGCCGCGUGACGUGAAGAAGGCCUCGGUUGUAAG
rnacentral:rRNA from 1 species